rnacentral:rRNA from 1 species
CAAUGGAGGAAACUCUGACGCAGUGACGCCGCGUGCAGGAAGAAGGUUUUCGGAUUGUAAACUGCUUUAGACAGGGAAGAAAAAGGACAGUACCUGUAGAAUAAGCUCCGGCUAACUACGUGCCAGCAGCCGCGGUAAUACGUAGGGAGCAAGCGUUAUCCGGAUUUAUUGGGUGUAAAGGGUGCGUAGACGGGAAAUCAAGUUGGUUGUGAAAUCCCUCGGCUUAACUGAGGAACUGCAACCAAAACUAAUUUUCUUGAGUGCUGGAGAGGAAAGUGGAAUUCCUAGUGUAGCGGUGAAAUGCGUAGAUAUUAGGAGGAACACCAGUGGCGAAGGCGACUUUCUGGACAGUAACUGACGUUGAGGCACGAAAGUGUGGGGAGCAAACAGGAUUAGAUACCCUGGUAGUCCACACCGUAAACGAUGGAUACUAGGUGUAGGAGGUAUUAA